AGUGAACGCUGGCGGUAGGCCUAACACAUGCAAGUCGAACGGCAGCACAGUAAGAGCUUGCUCUUACGGGUGGCGAGUGGCGGACGGGUGAGGCAUACAUCGGAAUCUACUUUUUCGUGGGGGAUAAUGUAGGGAAACUUACGCUAAUACCGCAUACGAUCUACGGGUGAAAGCAGAGGAUCUUCGGACCUUUCGCGUUUGAAUGAGCCGGCGCUGCAGUAGCUAGUUGGUGAGGUAAAGGCCUACCAAGGCAACGAUGCAUAGCCGACCUGAGAGGGUGAUAGGCCACACUGGAACUGAGACACGGUCCAGACUCCUACGGGAGGCAGCAGCAGGGAAUCUUCCGCAAUGGGCGAAAGCCUGACGGAGCAACGCCGCGUGAGUGAUGAAGGUCUUCGGAUCGUAAAACUCUGUUAUUAGGGAAGAACAUAUGUGUAAGUAACUGUGCACAUCUUGACGGUACCUAAUCAGAAAGCCACGGCUAACUACGUG
rnacentral:rRNA from 1 species